rnacentral:rRNA from 1 species
AUGAUGAUGAUGAUGAUGAUGAUGAUGAUGAUGAUGAUGAUAUUGUAUAUCACUUUUAAUCAUAUAGGUUUCACAAAGGGCUUUUACCUCGAUGAAACACCCCUUUUCUCUUCCCCUACCCUCCCUCCGUCCCCGCCAUCGCCGCCGCCACACCGUUCCUGGCCGCAUUGCCUUCCACCAAGGCCGUCCGAACUAUGA